rnacentral:rRNA from 1 species
AGAGUUUGAUCCUGGCUCAGAACGAACGCUGGCGGCAGGCUUAACACAUGCAAGUCGAGCGCAUCCUUCGGGGUGAGCGGCAGACGGGUGAGUAACGCGUGGGAAUCUACCUUUUGCUACGGAAUAGCUCCGGGAAACUGGAAUUAAUACCGUAUGUGCCCUUAGGGGGAAAGAUUUAUCGGCAAGAGAUGAGCCCGCGUUGGAUUAGCUAGUUGGUGGGGUAAAGGCCUACCAAGGCGACGAUCCAUAGCUGGUCUGAGAGGAUGAUCAGCCACAUUGGGACUGAGACACGGCCCAAACUCCUACGGGAGGCAGCAGUGGGGAAUAUUGGACAAUGGGCGCAAGCCUGAUCCAGCCAUGCCGCGUGAGUGAUGAGGGCCUUAGGGUUGUAAAGCUCUUUCACCGGAGAAGAUAAUGACGGUAUCCGGAGAAGAAGCCCCGGCUAACUUCGUG